AGCGUGCUAUCAGUGAGUGCCUAGAUUGGGCAGGGGGAUUCCUGAGGGAGGUGGGAGGCAAAUUCUGUCUCCACUGGAACCACUGACAUGGACACAGCCCACGGCCUGGAGUUUGUUCGGCAGAGCCCUCCUGUCCGCAGGGAGGCCAGGAACUCCCUUCUUCCAGGUGGUGGGGAAGCUCUCCAUCUGUACCUCGCCUGAUGAAGCGCGAGCUGGGGCUUGCAUCACAAAUGGAGCUUCUGAGCCAGAAAGCUGGCAAACCCUCAAUGGAGAGGAUGUUGAAGAUUCUGAAGACCUAGAAGACUGAGCCACAAGGUGAAAGGAGGCUGGGGCCCUGAGUGACUGAAUGGAGCAGAGCCAUUCCCAUCCCUGACCCACAGUGGAUGACUAUAUGAGGAAGCUCAGAGCCUUGGGGCCUUGCAUAAUUCACCUGGCCAGACUUCUAGGAGCUUGAUAGUCCCUGGAAAGAGCAACCUGAGAGGUCAUUUGCUUACUGUGGCGGGGUCACAAGACAGCAAAUGCUGUGAAUCAUCACUAGGUCAAGCUGCCUGCCUUAUGUGGAAGGUGAUGUGGUAAGCUCCUGAGAUUUCAGGGCUUAUUUAUUAUCUGGCCUCAUCUCAUCCCCUCCUGACACAACGAACUAUCCAGUGUUCCUUGUGACACUGCCUCUGUUACAGCUUACACCACACUGUUUACAUUGGCCUCUCUACUAGAUUGCAAGCUCUUUACUGGUGAGGAUUUAGUUUUCUCUCUCUCACCUCCAUAGUGCUUGGCAUAUAGUUGGCACUUAGCCCACAUCUUUUUAAAAGAAUUUAUAAUAUUGGUUUAAUUUGCAGCCCAAAUGCAGAGGAGACUUAAAUCAAGGAGAAAAUUAAAAAAAAUGUGUUAGUUAUACACAGGAAAACAAUUACAGCUAUAAAAUGUAAUGUUCUCCUCUAAGAGUCCAUUUGACGAUGGAAGUCAAGACGGAGUGAAAAGAAAUGUCAGGCCUGGAGGUAAGGAGAGAAGAAACUGCUUGCCUUGUGGGGGCCAACAGGUACCUGUGGUUCAGGGGCUGCAAACUUCCCUGCCCUGGGCUCAUAAAGAAUCUGACAAAAAGGACACUCCCCAGUUCUCUUGAUCCACAUCCUGCCUCACCUUUCCUUUACACCUUCUUGCAAUUGCUUUGCUCUCCUGCAAUUUCUAGGAGUUGCUUUUAUUUCAUUCACUAAACAAUUUAUGAAUUGAAUUAAAAUAAAUGAGAUGCAAAUAAAUUCCAGGCUUUCUCCCUCAUUUUCAAAUUACAUUUUCAGUCCACUCAACCUGUUAUAAUCUCAUAGUGAUUUUCAUUUAAGAGAGCUAAAUGGAUAUGUGAUUAUUGUUACAGGAACUAACACCAGACAAUUAAAUGUUGAGGUGUUGAUAGAUAAAGCUGUGUUUUGAUUUGCAUAAACAUGAUGCCAGCAAAUCUAAACCUGGCAGAAAUUCAGUUAUAAGAUUUGCGUGCCUAACUUCUGCUAAUUACCACAAGUACCAUUAUUAAGAUUUUUAAUAUUCAGUGUUGGGAUUAUAGCCAUUUUAUUUUAGGGCCACAUUUAUCUUUAUUUGGAAAACUUAGUCAAAAAGCAUAACUGAUUUAUCAGAGAAAAGGCACGAUUACUACUUAUAAUCAACUUCUACAGUACAGCAUAUCAAAAAUCAAUUACACAGGCCUGAAAUCCAGUCAUUAAGGAUUUAGCUACUAAUCUCAUUUCAUUUUUUGUCUUUGGGAAGAUAGUGCCGUUUGCAACUUUGCAGAUACCAGCGUUGGAAGGAAAACAUGGGAGACUGCUGAUAACCUAAUGUGAACAAUGAAACUCCAGCUAGAUGAAAGCAGAAUCUUAAUAUGCAGUGGCCUGGCUCUGCAGGGAGGUAACCUGGGCCGGGUGGAUUUCAAUCCAAUAACAGGCAAAAGUUACGCUGAUGGUGACACUUCUACUCUUUUCCAUUGUUUACUGUCUUCCUAGUGCUUAUCUUAAUCAUAAUUAUUUUAGUUAUUUAUCACUGUAUUCACUAUCUGCCCUUCUUGUCCCUUUCCCCCAUCCCUGACUGUAAGCUGCAGGAGGGUAGGCUUGGUGUGUCAUAUAGAUCUUCAGUGCCUGACAAGUGGUAGGUGUUUAGUGAAUAUGUGAAUUUGGUGAAGACUGGGAUCCCUGCCCCCCCCCCCCCCCACCAUGGGGAAAGAGGUUAGCAUGAUGUUAAAAAUCAGUCAGAUGAGUGAGUAGGGCAGGACCCCGAUUAUCUGGAUGACUAUGAAUUUAAACAGGAAGCUAUGGGGCUUGGUGGUGAAGAAUACUGGCUAGUGAGCCAGACACAAAUAUGGAACUGGGACUGAGUCCUGGCUUUGCCAUUUUCUAGCCAUGGUGCCUUUGGACGGGUUAUGUAGCUCCCAGAGCCUGUGUUUCUUUAUCUGAAAAACAGGGAUAACUAUCCCCAUGCGGUUGUUGAAAAUAAGUAAAGCACUUAACAUACUGCUUGCCUCACGGAAUCCUCAAUGAGUAUUGUGUCUUUGUUUUUAAAAGAAGUAACUUUGGGGUCAGUUGCCUAGUCUGGGGAAGCUAUGGUUUGUUAAAACUUUCUGCUUGGUUAGCUUGUUACUUCCUCUUGGGAAGCCUCCCCUUAUCACCUUAGGCUGGGCAAUCUCUCCUGCUCUGUGAUUCCAUCAGGCCCUGGAUGUUCCUCUCACUUAUCCCAUUGGAUUAUCCUGCAUCUAUCUAUUCUACUGGACUGUUAACUCCUUGAGUGUAAAGAGUACAUUAUAAAAUUUGUGUUCUUUCAGUAUUCAUCAAAUUCCUCAGCACACAGUAGGCACUGGCACUCGGUGCUAAGUCGUUUGUCAAAUUGGCCAAAGAGUGGAAGUUGAGAAAGAAGAUGGCAAGUGUGACAAGAAGACUGAAGCUAUCUCUAGCUAGAGCAUAAGGCGCCACUCAAUGGAAUUUAGGCCAUUCUCCAUGGGCAGGGAGAUGUUGCAGCGCCCAAUGGUGGGGGUGAUGGUACCUGCUAGGACAUGGGGCUCACUGUGGAAGCUGACACCCAUUCCAUUGGCAUACAUCACC